rnacentral:rRNA from 1 species
GGAGCUUUACUGUAGCCUGAUAUUGAAAUUCGGUACAGUUUGUACAGGAUAGGUAGGAGCCUUAGAAGCGUGAGCGCUAGCUUACGUGGAGGCAUUGGUGGGAUACUACCCUAAUUGUAUUGGAUUUCUAACCCGCAGCACUUAUCGUGCUGGGAGACAGUGUCAGGCGGGCAGUUUGACUGGGGCGGUCGCCUCCUAAAGAGUAACGGAGGCGCUCAAAGGUUCCCUCAGAAUGGUUGGAAAUCAUUCAUAGAGUGUAAAGGCAUAAGGGAGCUUGACUGCGAGACCUACAAGUCGAGCAGGGUCGAAAGACGGACUUAGUGAUCCGGUGGUUCCGCAUGGAAGGGCCAUCGCUCAACGGAUAAAAGCUACCCCGGGGAUAACAGGCUUAUCUCCCCCAAGAGUUCACAUCGACGGGGAGGUUUGGCACCUCGAUGUCGGCUCAUCGCAUCCUGGGGCUGUAGUCGGUCCCAAGGGUUGGGCUGUUCGCCCAUUAAAGCGGUACGCGAGCUGGGUUCAGAACGUCGUGAGACAGUUCGGUCCCUAUCCGUCGUGGGCGUAGGAAAUUUGAGAGGAGCUGUCCUUAGUACGAGAGGACCGGGAUGGACAUACCUCUGGUGUACCAGUUGUCGUGCCAACGGCAUAGCUGGGUAGCUAUGUAUGGACGGGAUAAGUGCUGAAAGCAUCUAAGCAUGAAGCCCCCCUCGAGAUGAGAUUUCCCAACUUC